rnacentral:lncRNA from 1 species
GUUUGAUUUGUAAAGACAAACUUCAAUGGAAUCAAGAAGCAGAAGUAGCAUUUGAGCUUUGUAAACAGCUUUUAUUUUUGCACCAAUCUUAUAUCAUAUUGAUUUUUCUAAGCCAUUUUUGAUGGAAACAGAUGCAUCAGACUUUGCUUUGGAUGUCGUAUUGUCACAAAUAGGAAUAGAUGAUAAACUUCAUCCUAUAACUUUUCAUUCCAGAAAAUUUUCAGUAACCGAGAUCAACUACGAAAUCUAUGACAAAGAACUUCUUGCAAUCAUGGAUUUGUUUCAAGAAUGGUGCCAUUAUCUAAAAAGUGCUUCUAAUCUUCUCACCAUAUAUAUGGAUCACAAGAAUAUUGAUUAUUUUAUGUCAACAUGUGUUUUGAAUUCUUGCCAAGUCCGUUCGAGUAUGUCUUUGUCAAGAUUUGAAUUCAAGAUCACUUAUCAACCAGAAAAACAACAAGGUUUAUCAGAUGCACUCUCUAGACGAUCUUACCUUGUAUCAAAAAAAAGAGAUGUGACUUUUGAUCAACAACGAAUAAUUCUCUUGAAGCCAAAGCAUCUUCAUCUUCAAGCAAUGAAAUCAACACUAAUUAUUGAUUCAACUUUCAUUAAGCAAGUUUAGUCAAGUAUGUCUUCUGAUCCUUUUAUUCGUGAUAUUAAAGAAAAUCCUUCAAAGUCUCAUGAUACUUCCAAGUUUGAAUUCAAGAACAAUCUAUUAUAUUUCAAGGGACGCCUAUAUGUUCCAAAAGGUGAAGCUCGAUUAUGUGUUCUUCUAGCUCAUCAUGACUUUCUAGCAGCAGCACAUUUUGGGUACAAUAAAAUUUUGGAACUAAUAUUUAGGGACUUUUGGUGGCCCCAAAUGUGGAAAGCAAUCAAAGAUAUUGUACAAUCUUGUGAUAUUUACUCAAGAUCAAAAACUCCUUGUCAUCGACCUUAUGGACUUCUUCAGCCAUUACUCAUUCUAGAACAAUCAUGGUCUUUUGUUUCUAUAGAUUUCAUCACGGAUCUUUCAAUCUCAAGUUCUUAUGACUCUAUAUUUGUGAUAGUAGAUUAUUUUACCAAGAUGGCACAUUUUGUACUAUGUACAAAAUCCAUCAUAAGUAAAGAAACAGCUAAGUUUUUUUUUGACAAUAUCUAUUGCUAUCAUGGAUUAUCCAAGGAUAUUAUAUCAGAUAGGGGAACUCAAUUUGUAUCAAAAUUUUAGUAGAUUCUUUUUUAAGAUUCUAAAAAUGGAUAUAAAACUAUCUUCGACAAUCCAUCCUCAAAAUGAUGGAAAAAUGGUACAUAUUAAUCAAGUUUUGGAGCAAUAUUAAAGAUGUAUCAUCAACUACCAAUAAGAUGAUUGGACAACUCUUUUGCCAUUGGCAGAAUUUCCUUACAAUAACACCAUACAUUUUUCUACAAAAUAAAUACCUUUUUUUUGCCAAUUAUGGUUAUCAUCCAGGACUUGAUACUUUUGAUUUUUCAAAAGUUGAUAAUCUUGCGACAAAAGAUUUGGCAAUUCAUUUGUCAGAGCUACAUGCAAUGAUGAAGGCGUAGUUAAAAAAAGCUCAUGAAUAACAAAAGAUCAAUGCAGAUGUCUAUCGAAAGGAAUAACUACCAUUCCACAUGGAUGAUAAGGUAUGGUUACUUUGUCGCAAUAUCAAGACCACUCAUUUUUGUGAAAAUUUAGACUAUCGAAGGCUUAGACCAUUUUCUAUUUCUGUACAAAUCAAUCCAGUUUCAUAUUAUUUGUACCUACUGGAGUGAAUGAAAAUCCAUCCAGUAUUCCACAUGUCUCUUCUUGAACCAUACAAAAUAGUGGACAUACUAAGAAGAAGUCAAGCUCCACUUCCUCCUAUAGAAGUAGACAAUAAUGAAGAAUUCAAAGUGGAAGAAGUCUUAGAUUCAAGGCAUCGCCAAAAUAAAUUGGAAUAUCUUAUCUAUUGGCACAGAUAUGAUAUUAGUGAACACACAUGGGAGCCAAUAAAGAAUCUUGCAAAUGCAACAAAGGUGAUGGAAGCUUUUCAUUGACAACAUCGAUCAAAAUCAAGAUGAAAAACCUUCUUUAUAAAAGAAAAAAGAUCUAGACAAGAUAACAUUCUACUUUCAAUCCUUGUUUGUAGCUUCUUUGUAGUUGUGAUGCUGAGGAGAUGGGGAACCAACAACUAGUGGAUUUGACUUAAGAGCCUCGUUUGCUAAGUUGUCGAACAAGAUAUUACAAUUGUCACAACCUUUAAGAUGACGCAAUCGAGAUGAAGAUCUUCAAGAACGACAUGUUUUUCCUCGAGUAAAUGGUGAGAUAGAAUGCGUUUGGUAUCACGACUUUAGAAGGGACUCCCGAUGUUUGGUGAUUUUACUAGAGGUAGGAACAACUCCUAAUGGUGUUCCAAAUAUUUCAUUGGAAGGAAGUCAUGAAGGCCUCAACAACAAUCAAAUAAUUGGGUGGUCUUUUUGCCCUGGUAUGGGACACUAUUUAUGGUUGAGAGGCCCUAUCAAUCAUCUUCAAAGAGAACAAAGAUCACAAUAUGUGGCGAAUAUAAUUCAUUGCAUUAUAGAUUUCCUCAACAUAUGAUGACUACUCCUCGUGGAACUCGUCCCUAGAAAAGAGGGUAAUAUCAUGUACAUACGCAUGUAAGCCAAUAAUUAUAUGUAUAAAUAAAUAGAAGUAAAUAAAAGUAGGUAAAAGUAACUUAAUUCUAUAAUAUUUGCUAUAGAAGCUUCCUAAAAGCUUCAUAGAUGCCUCUUUGACUUUAUAGGCAUCUUUAAUUGGCUUUUAGGAUUAGAAACGUGGUCAACAAGUUGGCCAUGUACCAUACAUUUUGUUAGCUUGAAGACCAAGCUACCUAUGUGGCCUACUUGUAGAAAAACUUGCCUUGUAAGUCAAGGCAUAUAUCCUACAAAGUCAACACAUAUUGGAGGUCCUAUAAAACAUCGCCAUGUAAUUCCUAGUUAGAUAGUAUAUAUAGAGACAAGAGUGAAGCCUUCUUCACUCUUGUCAACUCCUUUCUUACUUCUAGUUCAGUUUCAAGGAUUUCUAGUUUUCUAGUCUUUUGGUAAUAGCCAUUUCAGUUUCUUUCUUAAUAUACAUAUUGAGUUAUUUCUAUUUUGUCAUCUUUCUUUAAGAGAAGUCUCCCUUGUUUAUUUGUCUUUAUCAAGUUCUUGUCCUUGACAGUGCUACUUUGAGUCUCAGACUUCUUCUACCUCAAAUUCUUCAUUAUUAUCUACUUCUAUAAGAAGAGGUGGCAUCUAUUUUUUUUCUUGGUAUAUUCAUCGUCUUCUAUGAUUCAAGAAGAGACAUAUUGAAUAUAUAAUGGAUCUUUAUUGACUUCAAUAAGUAUAAUCAAUAAGAAAUUAAAUUUAUUUAUUUACAAAUAGAAAAAAAUCUAAGCUUAUAAUAGUCCAAUUUGUCACAAAGGCAAGUAGACUUGAUAUUACAACAAAGUAAUCAUACCUUAUCACUUAGGUUGAAUUAUGGUUGUUUCUUGUGAUAGGCAUUUACAUUUCUCUUUUAUCAUUCUUGAACUUCUUUUAAUCAUGCCUUCAUUAUUGCAUGUAGCUUUGAUAAAUAAUUUACCAAAUCUUUUGUCAUAAGAAUAUCAACUCUUGAAAAGUCAAAUGUAUCAAAGUAUAGAUGAUAACUAUAAUUAAUAAAUAAGUCGUUUGGUAGAUAGAAGAAUAUCACCUAUUAUAUGCAAAGUUUAUUAAUAGUAAAAGAGUUGUCUAAUCAUUUUAUUAUAAAUAUAAAAUCAUACAAACGUAUGACUAGAAGUUUUGUAAUAAAAUCCAAAGAAAUAGAAGACCAUAGUCGUUCGAAUAUAGGCAAUGGUUGAAUAAGUCCAUAGGCUGAAUGAGAAGGAAUUUUUGACCUUAAAUAAAUGUAAUAUGAUUGGACAAAGUCUUUCAUUGUCUUUCACAUUUGGUGCCACCAAAAAUCUCUAAAUAUAAGGUCCAAAGUCUUAUUGUAUCCAAAAUGUUUGACUAAUGGAAAGUCAUAAGUACUUAAAGAACAUGUAAACGUACUUCAAAACUUGUUUAACACACUCUAUUCAUUCAUUGAUUUGAGGAUGAAAAGACAAAGAUAACUUUAUAUCUAUCUUCAAAAUCUUGAAAAAGAUUCUUUAAAAUCUUGAUACAAAUUUAGACUUCUUAUCUAAUAUUAUAUCUUUGGAUAAUCCAUGAUAGUAAUAGAUUUUGUAUAUAGUACAAAAUCUUCCAUCUUAGUAAAACUAUCUACUAUCACAAAUAUAAAAUCAUAUAAACUUGAGACUAGAAGAUCCAUGAUAAAAUACAUUGAAAUAAAAGACCAUGGUUGUUUGGAUAUGCAAAAUUGUUGGAGAAGUGUGGAGGAUCAAUAAUGAGAAGUUUUUGACUUUGAAUAAAUGUCAUAUAAUUAGAUAAAGUUUUUUAUUGCCUUCUACAUUUGUGGCCACCAAAAAUCUCUAGAUAUAAGCUCCAAAGUCUUGUUAUAUCCAAAAUGUCUUGCCAUUGGAAAGUCAUGACGUGUUGGAAGAAUACAUAAUUGUCUUAUUUUUUUUAGAAUAUAUAAGCAUCCUUCAAAAUAAAAUAGGUUGUUUUUGAACUCAAACUUAAAAGCAUUAAGAGGCUUAGAAAAAGAAUUUAUAAUAUCAUGAAUAAAAAAAUCAAAGAACAUUCUUAAUUGAAUAUGUUGACAAAAGUUGAAUUAAAAAUUAAUGUUGAUUUUAUUACUCAAAGGUGAAAAUCCUUUGGCUACAAAAAACUCAUUCUUUAUUGAUAAAAAGAUGCAUCUUUUUUGUUUGGUAUAAGAUAAGAAUAUUUAGAAAAGGUAUUUGACAAAUCUUAUUGAUUUUUGGAUUGAUAAAUGAACUUAAAAUCAAAUCUUCAUAAAGACAUGCUCUAAUUACCUUGGCAAUGAUUCAAGAUACAUACUUAUCUAAAAUAUCCAAGAUUCUUAUGAUUUAUAUAAAUAGUAACUAGAAUAAAAAUGCCCUCUAGAUUAAGGUAUUAUUCUUGAAAUAAAUUUAUAAUUAUAAAAAGUUCUUUGUCAUGAAUCUCAUAGUUAAUCUUUGCUACUAAAAAUUUUAUUGAAUAAAAAUCUACUAAGUGAAGUUUAACUUUUUUUUCUAUUUGUAACAAUAUAAUAUUUAAUGCAAUAUCUGAUGUGUUUAUUUUCAUAAAAAAUAUCUUAGAAAAGUCAACGCAAUACAAGAUUGGUACAAAAAUAAAGGCUUUUUUCAAAGCUUCAAAUACUACUUCUAUUUCCUAAUUCCAUUGAAGUUUGACUUUAUAAGUCAAUCUUGUAAGUAGAGUUGUAACUUGAGAGAAGUCCUUAAAAAAGAUCCAAUAGUAGUUGAAAAAUUCUAAAAAGCAUUAAACAUCUCUUAUCAUUUUUGAGAUCUUCCAACCUAUAAUUGUUUGAAAUUUCUUAAAAUCUAUCAUAAGUCCAUCAUUUGAAAUAAUAUAUCCUAAGAAGUUGACUUGAGUAAUUUGAAAUAUUCACUUUUUUUUCUUGGUAUAGAACGUCCCAUCUUUUAGUUUUUGUAAUAUAUCACAAAUAUAAAAAUCAUUUUUUUUUUAUAUUCUUAGAAUAGAUUAAGAUGUAUUUUAGGUAACAAACAACAAAAUCAUUUAAAAACUCUUGAAACACAUCAUUCAUUAGAUAUUGGAAAGUUGCGGGUGCAUUUGCAAGUCCAAAAGACAUGAUAUUGUAUUCAAAAUAUCCAUACCUAGUUUAAAAUAUAGUCUUCUAUUUAUCUCUUUUUAUAAUGUGUAAGAGAUUGUGUACUCCUCGUAGAUCUAUUUUUGUAUAGAUCUUAAUUUAAUUCAAUUGAUAAAAAACUUUACAUAUCAAAGGUAGAAGAUAUUUGUUUUUGAUGGUAAUUUUAUUGAGCCCUUGAUAAUUAAUACAUAUUCGCAAUGAUCCAUUUUUUUUCUUCACAAAUAAAAUUAGAACUCUUAUUAGAGAUUUGAAAUGGCGUAUGAAAUUCUUGGCAAAAAUCUCUUUAGUAUACUCUUUGAAUUCAGCCAACUCAUUUUGUGAUAAAGUAUAGAUUGAUCUAAAUAGGGAUUGAGCUCCUUCUUGAAGGUCAAUUGAAUAAUCAUAGGAAUAAUGUUCCAAAAAAGUAUCUCCAUUCUUCAUCUCAAAUACAUCUUGAAAAUCUUGAUAUUGGCUUGGAAUACCACUUAAAGUCCUUCAACCAUUAGAAACAUCUGUGACAUAAAUGAUACAAGAUAAUUCUUCUUUGGAAGUAUAUAAGAAAGCUCUUGCACCUACAAAUACAGAUUUAAUUGUACUAGAAUUAUGAAUUCUUAUUUAAUUAAAUUUACUCUUAGUUAUACAUGCAAAAAAAUCAAGACUACAAGAAAUCUAAUCUACUUUAGGAUUAUAUUUCUUUACCCAUGAUAAAUUUAAAAUGACUAGAUUAAAAAGAGAUCUAAUAAUAUUAAAUAUUACAAAGCUACUAUGACUAUUAAUUGUUAUUUCUAUAGGAAGGAUUUUAUGAGUAAUAUUUUUUGAAGAUAAUAGAUGACUAUCUAUGACUUUUAUAUAAAUAAGUUUAGUUUUCUUUACUAAACAUAUGAUAUGACUUAUAGCAAAUCCUUCAUCUAAAAAACAUGUUGAGGCUCUUGAAUCUAAUAAGAUAGAGGCUUUGUGAUAUUUUGAUCCUAAAAUAAUAUUUAAUGUAAAAUAAAGAAACUAUUUUGAAGAAAGAAUAGGACCUUCACUAGGUAUUGUAUAAGAUUCUAGCCACAUGGUGUCAUAUUAUGUGAAAUCUUGCUUGAGAAUGUACUGAGCAUCUGGUUGUGGAAGAUUAAAAAGAAUUUACAACAAGUCCUAACUAUUCCAUUAAAAUUGUAUAUAAGUUGCUAUAGAAGCUUUAAAAAUAUAAUUAAACAUUAAUUAAGGCCAAUUAUUAUUAUUUUUAUUCUAUUUUAUUUUAUUUGUUUUUAUUUUAUUUAUUUAUAAUUAAAAUAAAUUAUAAAAGAAAAUACAAGUAAAUCCUAAAGAAACCUAAAAAAAAUCCUAAAGAAAUCCUAAAAAAACCUUGAAGAUCUUUAAAGAAUCCUAAAAGAAUUCUAAAGAAAUCCUAAAAAAUCUUAAAGAUAUUCUAAAGAAUUCUAAAUCAAUCCUGAUCAUAUCCUAAAUAAAUCUAAUCAAAUCCUAAAAAAAAUCCUAGUUAAAUCCUAAAUCUAAUCAAACCUUAAAUCAAUCCAAAAUCCUAAUCCUAAUCCCAAAUCAAACCAUUUAACCAAAUCCUAGUCAAUCUCAAGUAAUUCCUACAGCAGAUUUAAAUCUCAAUUAUUAAUGAAUAAAUCGUUGAUUUUAAUUCAAAUUAUGCACAUUUUUUAACAAUUAAGUUGAAAACAAGUGCAAAAAAAAUUGAAAAGAAUUAAAAUUUACCAAAUAGAUGAUAAUCUCAAAAAUAUGCUUGAGUGUCAGCUGGCCUCCUUCUUUGACCUUGAUGUCAAACUCUUGGAGCUAAUUACUCCUGAUUGAACUAUUACUUUGCUUCUAAACUUUAUAUACUUAUUAAAAAUCAAACUGACUACCUUUGUGAGAAACAUUUGCCUCAAUCUAAUUAGUGGAUUGACAAAUAUCUAUGAAAAUCUCACUAGUCUUCAAAACCCUAAAUUUUGAGACCAUAAUCUCUAAAUACCUUUAUCCUUCUCAAUCUAUCUAUUCAAUCAAAUCUAAAUUUAUAGUACACAUUAAGCACAACUAUACCUAUAAACCUAAAAAAUUUAACCUAUAGAUCUAUUAUAAAGCUUUUGAAAUCGCCCAAAACUUUAACUCUAUUUUAUUUUCCAAAAACCUAGAGACAUUGAAAAUACAUUGACUCUACAAAGCUCUUACAGAGUCAUUAUCCACCUAAAAAUCUCAAAAUCUUUGUAUAUAGAAACAAUAUCAAGUCUCUUCUCAAAUCUCCUUCUCCGAUCAACAAAAAAAUCUUAGAAUCAUUGUAGAGGCUUGGUUUUGUACCUUAGGAUCUGAUUUCGACCCUGGUUGGUAACCAGUCUUCUCCAGAUAUCAAUUUUUGUUCUUUUUGAGAUAAAUUCUACUAAAAUCAAUUCUAUAUUCCCUCCUACAUAUAUCAAUAUCUUCUUUUUUUCCAAUCUUCCUUACUUUGCCUUAUUUAUGGCCCCACAAAGUAAAUAGAAGCUACUUUUUUAAAAAUACAACAAUACUAUUAAAAUUUUAUUAUCUUCCCAUCUUUUAUCUAUAUUUUUUUACUUUAUCUUUUAAUUUGGCUCUUCUAUAUUAAAAUCCAUAUUAUUAUCUUUUACCAUAUAGUCAUGUUAUAAUACAACAACAGUUCCUAUUAUAGCUUGAUAAACUUAUUUUCUAACAUAUUAUAUUCUUUGACAGUUGUACUUUUCAUUUUGUAGUUGUAUUGCUUCUUUAAAAAAUAUUGAACAAUGUGUUUAGAUUCUCCAAAAUACAAGCAUAAUUCUUUUUGGUGACAAUGAGUCUUUUGUUGCUUAAUAAGAGAUUCAAAAUGUACCACAUCAAUUUACAUAUCUUCUACUUCCAAAUGUAUGUAUUGAAGAAACAUUGGUAUUGCUAUUAAAUUAUAAUAACAUUGAGGUGUAUUUUUGCAACUUUCAAAUCGAAAUUCAAAAAAUUGAUUGUGAUACUUCACAACAAAGUCAAUUGCUUGAUUUUAUGUUUAAGAAUCAGGUAAGUUGAGCAUCAAUUUUAUUACCUCAUAUUAUAAUCCAAAAAAAAAUUGGCUAACAAAUGCAAUAUCAUUCUACUUGAUAUUAGUUGCAAGUUGUCAAAAUUGUGAAGUAUAUAAUAUUAUUGAUCAAUUUUCUAGUUGCAAAAUGAAGAUUUUAUUGGUUGCAAUACAAAUUACAUCAUGUUUUUUAUAAAUGGAUUAAAAUUCUACCAAAAAAGCCUCAAGUUUAUCCAAUAUUGGAUCUUAUUUUUCAAGAAAAAAUGAAAACAAUGAUAAUGUUGAACUUGAAAGAAGUUUACUAAUGAAUUUAACUUGUAAUCCCAGAGUUAAAUAGCUUUUGAGUUGAAGUUCAAUCACAAGUUGUACUUAAUUAAUAAACCCUCAAAACUUAGAUCUUGUGCCAUCAAACUUCUUGGGUAGUGAAACCCUUGAUUUUCUAGCACUAGAAGGGUGUUCAUUCAUAAGAAAAAAGAUAUGAUUUAGUGCAAAUAUUGAAGCAACUCCAAUCAUCUCUAUGUCUUUGUUCUCUGCCAUUCCUGUUAUUUCUUAUGGUGGUAAAUUGAGUUGAUGUAUUAUAAGUAUUAAUCUCUUUUAUUGUUCUUGCAUUUGUACCAUUGUACUCUUCAUUUUAAAAAAGCUUUGCAAUGAUAAUAUUUAAAAAAAAUAAAAAUAAAAAUAAAAAUAAUCUAAUACUUUUUAAGACAAAUAAAAAAGAUGACUUGAGAAAAAAGAAAAUACUAUGGAUAACAUCAGUUUAAAAGAAGGUAAUCCACAACUUCUAAUAUACUAAUGUCAUAUCAAGAAAAAGAAUUAAUCUACUCUUAAUAAAAAAAAGACAAAGCUUUGAUAUUAUAAUUAUACUCUUUUCAAAUUGUCAAGGAUAAGAAUUCAAUGAAAGCAAAUAAAAAAAUGAGACUUUAUUAAAGAAGUAUGAAAAAAUAGAAAUAAAGAAGUAUGUAUAUUAAAAAAAAUUAGAAUGGCUAUUGCUAAAAGACAAGAAAAAUAGAGACUCUUGAAACUAGACUAGAAGCAAGAAAGGAAUUGAUAAGAGUGAAGAAGACUUCAUUCUUGUCUCUAUAUAUACUAUCCAUAUAAGAAUUAUAUUGCGAUAUUCUAUAGAACCUCCAAUAUAUGUUGACUUUGCAAGCCACAUGUUUUAAAUUGCAUAGAAAGUUUUUUAUGUGUGCACCACAUAGUUAACUUAUUAUACAAGCUACUUAUACGUGUAAUAUGUAGCUAACUUGUUGUUCAAGUUUUUAACCUAAAAAUAAACUUUAAACACUUAUAAAGUCAAAAUUAUAUUUAUGAUGCUUUUAGAAAGCUUUUCUAAAAGAUAUUAUGGAAUUAAUCUACUUUUAUUUAUUUUUAUCUAUUUCUUUCUAAUUUUAUAGAUAAUUAUUAUAGUAAGUAUAUAUGUUUGUGAUAGUAGUUGAGCUCUUUUUUGAAGAUUGAUGGAAAAAGCAUAAAGACAAUGCUUUGAAAGAAUAUCUAUAUUUUUCUUUUCAAAAAUGUCUUGAUAAUCUUAAUAUUAGUUUGAAAUAUCACUUAAAAUCUUUUUUCUAUUAAUAAUAGGUAUGAUUUUUAUAGCAAAAAUUGACCCUUCUUUUGUAGCAUGCAUGAAAGUUUUUGCACUUAUCAAUAAUGGAUUGGAUGUAUUUGUCUUAUGAAUUUUUAUUUGCCUAGCAAAAUCUUUGGCUAAAUUAUAGAAAAAAUCAUGUUUGCAAGAAAUCUAGUCUAUAUAAGAGUUUUAUUUUUUUUAACCAUGAUAUUUCUAAAAUAAUUGGAUUAGAAGAAAAUUUAAUCAGAUUAAAUGUUAUUAAAUUAUUAUAACCACUAGUUGCUACUUCUAAAGGAACAAUUUUUUUGUAUAACAUCUAAAGAAGACAACAAACAACCAUCUAUUAAUUAUACAUGUACAUAUUUGGUUUUUUUAAAAAAAGAUAUAUCUUAUUUUUUGACAAAGUCUUUAUUUAUAAUACAAGCUAAGGCUUCUAAAUCUUAUAAGUCUAAGACUUUGUGAUUUUUUAGUCCUAAAUAAACUUUUAUUGUGAAACAAGAUAAAAGAUGUGAAGAGAGAAUAGGACCUUUACUAGAAAUUACAUAAGAAUUCAGUCGCACAAUCUCUAUUGUAAUUGGAAAAACUUGUUUUCUAAAACAUUGUCUUCUUUGGAAAUCAUACUCUUUAUUUUGUAAUUACGUUGCUUCUUUGUAUAAUGUUACGUAGUAUGCUUUGAUUUUUCAUAAUAUAGGCACAAACCUUCUUAAUAGCAAUGAAUCUUUUUUGACUUAGUAAGAAGUUUAAAAUAUAUUGGGUCAAUUUACAUAGGCUUUGGCAUAGAUAAGUAAGCUUCUAAAAUUUUAGAAGGUGUUGCUAAGGCUUGACUUUUACUUCUUCAAUCAAAUCUCUAUUCUUGACAUCUUUCAAAGAAUUGUUUGUUGCAUGCAAUGGCUUGAGCAAUAAAUUACUUAAAUGAACUUGUUCUCAACAUUGUGAAUAAUAAAUCAUUGACAUUAUUUUUCAAUUCAUAUCAAAACUAAUUGAUAAGGACUUUGUCAUUCCAAUCCACAUCACAAGCAAGAUUUUUGUAUUUUGCAAUAUAUGUGGUUGCUGAAUAUAAUCCUCAUCAUAAUAGUAUAAGCUUCAUCUCUACUAUCCUUUUUCAAUCAUUUUUUCUAAAUAUAGCUAUCAAUACUUUUAAAAAUGAAUUCAAAUUAUGAGAUAGUUGUGAAUCUUUUUCCAUCAGAAGUACAAAGCAAAAAAGAAUACUUCUUGAUAGAAGUACACAUAUGAAUCCAACUUGAAUAAAUCUAUUGGAGUAUUAGAAAGAAUGUAAUUUUAAAUAGUACUUAAUUUAUUGCAAAAAUCCUUGAAAUUUAGAUCUUAUUCUAUCAAACUUCUUGGUCAUAUUAAUUCUUGCCUCCUUUGUGUAUGCAAAAGUAAGACUUCUUGAAUUUGAUUGUGAGGCUCAUCUACUUGCUUCUUUCAAGUAUACAACUUAUUAGCAUAGACUUUGGACUUCUUCCAUAUGUGUAGGAAUAGUGCUUCUGUGGUUGGCAUUGGUGAUACAUGAAAUUUCUACCCUAAGAGUAUUGAUAAGCUCAUGAAAAUCUACAAAAGUUACAAAUCUUUUUUUUUUCUACUAAGUAUAGUAUUUAUGAUUUUUUCUUUUAUUUUAAAUAAUUUAAUAAAUCUAUAAGUCAAAUUAAAAGAAGAUAAUAUAUAACCUCUAAUAUUAAAUAAAAAUUUCUAUAAAUAGGAAUGAUCUAUAUUCUUUAAAUAAAAAUCAAUGCUAAAAAACUAAAUUGUUUGUUUUAAGGUAGAUAGUCUAUUACUUUUAAAAUAUAAUAUUAGAAGCAAAGUAAUCUACUCACUUCUAAAACAAGAUAGGAAUAAUAAGUUAGCACUCUUGUCAAACUAUCAAUGAUAUGAAUGUUGAAGAAAGAAAAUAUCAAUAUAUUCUUGUGUCACUUGCAAAGACUAAAAAAUCCUUUAAAAAUGGUAAUAUAUUGAAUUAGAAUGACUAUUGCCAAAAAUAAAAAGACCAAAAAGUCUUAAAACAAGACUAAGGAUUAAAAAGGCAUUGACAAGAGCAAAAGAAUUCACUCUUGCCUCCAUAUAUACUAUCUAAUUAGAAGUCAUAUAGCGAAAUUCUAUAAGACCUCCAACAUAUAUUAAUUUUGUAAAGCAUAUCCUAAUUUGCACUGUAAGUUUUUUUUAUAUGUGCACCACAUAGUUAGCUUGUUCUACAAGCUAUCAACAUGUGUGAUAUGUAGUUAAUUUAUUGACCAAGUUUUUAACCUACAAACAAUUGCAAAUACAUGUAAAGUCAAAAUUGUAUCUAUGAAGCUUAUAGGAAGCUUUUUUAGAAGAUAUUAUGAAAUUAAUCUACUUUUACAUAUUUUUAUCUAAUCAUAUAGAUAAUUAUUGGAAUAAAUAUGUGUGUCUAUGAUAAGUUGUUUCAUAAAAUAUGUUUUUAGUAUUUUUAGAAGGUUUUUUUUGUUUUCUUUUUAAAAUUAUUAAAUUUAUUACAAAUUUUGAUAUUGGAAUAAUACUUAUUUUAAUUUAUUUUGUACCAUAAUGAUGAUAUAGGUUAAAGAAUAAUUUUUUAAAAAAUAAUAUGGCUUUUAUGUAUAUAUUAAAAAUAUGUAAAUUUAUAAAUAUUAAGGUAUUUUUUUAUUAUUAUUUAUUUUCUAAUUUCAAACAAUACAUACUUCAAAGCAAGUCAAUAUUAAAGUGGCAUGGAGGCAUUAGCAUUAUAAUAUAUAUAUAUAUAUAUAUAUAUAUUUCUAAAUAUAUGUGAUUAUUUUAUAUUUAAAUAUAAUAAUAAAUUUCCAUAGCUUCUUUAUCCAAUUCGAAUUAUUGAUGAUUCGAUACAAAGUUUAUAGUACAGAAUGAAUGGGUCAUAAAGCACAUUCCGAAUUAGUUUUAAAAAACUAAAAAAAAUUAACUUAAAAGUAAAAUUUAAGAAAUUAACUAAAAAACUUAAGGAUUAUAUAUUAAGUAACACGCAUCUUUAUUUUUCAAAUCCAAAAAAAUAAGAUUUUCAAUAUUAUUUAUGUUCAUUGCAUACAAACAUUUGUCCAUAUUCCAUCAUAUUAAUAAAUUCAUGCACUGUUUUCAUAGAAAUGUAAUUAAGCAUGCAAAGAAAAAUAGAAAUUAAAGAAGAGAAAUAGACCUAAUCGUAUUCAAUUUCUUUUGAAUAAAUUAUGCUUGUACUAAGAUACUUUAUGCAUGCUUCAUAAAUUACUUGCAAUCAAGAAUUCAAAAGUCGGAAUGAAUGGGUCAUAAAGCACAAAUAUUGCACACCAUGGCUCCAAUACUUUCUUCUUUACAAAAGUGAAAUAUCCAAAAAAAUAUAUCUUCAGAAAGAAAAAAAGAAAAAAAGAAAAAGAAAAACGUUCCUCCUCCUUUUAGAUAAUAUUUUCUGCAAAAGAACAAAAACUUAGAGAAAGCCUUUCUUUCCCUGUAAGAUUCUUUGGAAUUCAACCUCCUGCCCAUUCCCCUAAUUUAACGCCCUCCCAUUGAACAAAAUCAAUUAAAACCCUAAAACUGUAUACUAGUCACCACCCUCCUCCACUCUGAAGACGAAUUAUACAUUUAGAAACGGGCUUGGAAACAGUUUGUUUGCACAUGGAUGGCGGUUUGGUGACCGUUUUUGACUACGUCAGCAGAAAGCUCAUGGAAGCAUCCUUUAGAACCCUUGUGGGAGGCUAUUUCAAGCCUGCCUGACUUGACCCACAUUGACAUGAAAAGAAUAACCAAAAAAAGAAGGAAUAAGGAAUCAGCCAAAAGGGAAUUUUGCAAGCUAAAUAUGAAGGCUGACACCGGCUCUACACAACCUGGACCAAGCUUUUCCCUUAACAAAGUGUUAUCUCGCACAUGAGUAUUUAUUGAUAAUGAUAGGUGAAGGUAAGAUCUUGCCUACAAGUUAAAUGAAUAAAUAAACAAAUCUUUUUAAACCUUUCCUUUCUCUCUGGUAUCUGAACCACCCACUUCCUCAGUACCUCACAACUGCACUAUUUCAAUCACCCACUCUACAACUUGCACAAUAAAUUGUUUUCUGUUCAUGAUGUGCGGAGAUUUCACUUCUCCUUGUAAAGAGAUCCCGCUCGUUGUCAAAUUCUGUGCCUGCUCUCUGAUUAGCAAUGUAAAGUGUUGCAUGCUUAAUGCAACACAUAAUUGGCCUCUUAGCAGGGAAUGAGGCAGCAGCAUCGUCUUAAAUAAGCUUCCUUGCCAUAUCCGGACUGUUUCAAACUGUGUGGAUGUUGUUCUCGGCGCUGGUUGAGAGGGUGUGGGUGGAAGGUUUUACCUCAGCCGGUUGGAGGAUCUGGAACAGGGUUGGGUGCCCGAUCUGAAGGGAAGAUUUCCAUGAAUUCCACGGUCUGUAACAGCAGCUUUUUUGUUAGAGGCAGCGGAUGCAAGCCAAGUUUAAUGCGAUGUGAGUGCAACGAACGUGGACACUGUGUUUACGAGAUUUAGGGAUUCACCAACUUUGCCGACAGUUUUACAACAUGAAAGGGUAGGGAUAUUGCGGUGGGAAUCUCGGAGGUAGUAAAAGUGUGCGUACCGCAUUGACAAUGGAUUCCCCCAGCCUCAUGGACAAGUCGAAUAAUUGCUUGAAGCUCACAUUCUGGAUUCUCUCGCCAUGGAUGCUGCAGAAUAUGAAUCACAGGGUUCAUUGUUGUAAAACCGUCAAGGAUGCGGUAUGGUGGGCUGAGGGUUUAAGGAAAUGCGUACGUGAUAUAGUUGGCACGUCUGAGGGCACAUAAAGUUGUUGCAGUGAAUAGGCAUAACUGCACUCCAUGCACUAUAAAUCCUAUUGCAAUAUCAACGAGCAGAGCUAUUUUGGAUAAUCUUUUAAGUUCCUGAACUGCUGUGAUGGAUUUGGCGAGGUUUCUCGCUCUCUUUCUCUAUCCUGAGCUCAAACUCUCCAGAAAGUAGCAAUCUGUGCCGAACUCGGAUCAGCUUGCCCUAAUUCCUUGUAUUCGCCCAGACAAUGUGUUUUUUUUUUAAAGAUUGAUUGACUCAAGCAUCGACACUUCCACUGGCGUUAGUUAGGUGAGCAAUUUCCACAGAAACAGCCUUCACAUGUGUGGAAGUGAACAUCUAAAACUCAAACGACGUCACGUUAAGGAUGUGAAGAAUCACGUUGCUUGACUCACUCUCGUCAGGCAGUCCAGAU